UACGGGGGGAGCAAGCGUUGUUCGGAUUUACUGGGCGUAAAGGGCGCGUAGGCGGCCACGACAAGUCAGUUGUGAAAUCUCUGGGCUUAACUCUGAACGGUCAACUGAUACUGUCGGGCUAGAGUGCAGAAGGGGCAACUGGAAUUCUCGGUGUAGCGGUGAAAUGCGUAGAUAUCGAGAGGAACACCUGCGGCGAAGGCGAGUUGCUGGGCUGACACUGACGCUGAGGCGCGAAAGCUAGGGGAGCAAACAGG
rnacentral:rRNA from 1 species